AUGGCGAGCGUGGUCGAGACCCACGACUCCGCGGUGGCCGGCGGCGGGGACGUGGUGUUCUGCGUCAUCAUCUUGUUCAUGUCCGUGCUGUCCCUGGUCAUCUUGGCGACCUCCUCUGCCGUCGGCAGCGGCGACGGGGAAGAGGAAGGGAGGCAGCGGCAGCGCUCCGGCUCCCGCGGGAACGGGCCGGUGUUCGUGGGCGGCAGGGGCUGCGCCUGCGGCGGCUGCCGCGCCGGCGCCGGCGUCUGCGGCACCUACCUCUCGUGA
rnacentral:rRNA from 1 species